AUGUAUAUACACUAGUCAUGAGCGUUCGGUUAUUGGUUCGGUUUUAUUCGGUUUCAGUUCUAGAGUUUAGUAUCAAUUCGGAUAUUUUGAAAUCUCGCUUCUGUUCCGGUUCUUUAGGUUUAAAAAGUAAAUAUCCAUUCAGGUAUUUUGCUUUAGACGUUUUUGAUAUUUCGGUUAUUUUGAGUAUAUUCGGAUAUUUUUUGGUUAUUUUUAAAUA
rnacentral:sRNA from 1 species